UACGGAGGGGGGCUAGCGUUGUUCGGAAUUACUGGGCGUAAAGCGCACGUAGGCGGCUUUGUAAAUUAGAGGUGAAAGCCCAGGGCUUAACCCUGGAAUUGCCUUUAAGACUGCAUCGCUAGAAUCGUGGAGAGGUGAGUGGAAUUCCGAGUGUAGAGGUGAAAUUCGUAGAUAUUCGGAAGAACACCAGUGGCGAAGGCGACUCACUGGACACGUAUUGACGCUGAGGUGCGAAAGCGUGGGGAGCAAACAGG
rnacentral:rRNA from 1 species